GACGUAGGGCGCGAGCGUUGUCCGGAUUUAUUGGGCGUAAAGAGCUCGUAGGCGGCUUGUCGCGUCGACUGUGAAAUCCCGCGGCUCAACUGCGGGUCUGCAGUCGAUACGGGCAGACUAGAGUUCGGUAGGGGAGACUGGAAUUCCUGGUGUAGCGGUGAAAUGCGCAGAUAUCAGGAGGAACACCGGUGGCGAAGGCGGGUCUCUGGGCCGAAACUGACGCUGAGGAGCGAAAGCGUGGGGAGCAAACAGG
rnacentral:rRNA from 1 species